AAGUAAGAUACAGGAAAAAAAGCACGGCACUGCCGUCUGAAACCUGUCAUCUGAACCCUGAUUUCUGAUGGUCAUAAUGCAGUAGCGCCACCUGACUCCAUGCCGAACUCAGAAGUGAAAUGCUGUGAUGCCGAUGGUAGUGUUGGGUCUCCCAAUGUGAGAGUAGGUCACCAUCAGGU
rnacentral:rRNA from 1 species